CUUCCUACGGGGGGCAGCAGUGGGGAAUAUUGCACAAUGGGCGAAAGCCUGAUGCAGCGACGCCGCGUGAGGGAUGACGGCCUUCGGGUUGUAAACCUCUUUCAGCAGGGACGAAGCGCAAGUGACGGUACCUGCAGAAGAAGCACCGGCCAACUACGUGCCAGCAGCCGCGGUAAUACGUAGGGUGCGAGCGUUGUCCGGAAUUACUGGGCGUAAAGAGCUCGUAGGCGGUUUGUCGCGUCGUCUGUGAAAACCCGCAGCUCAACUGCGGGCUUGCAGGCGAUACGGGCAGACUUGAGUACUGCAGGGGAGACUGGAAUUCCUGGUGUAGCGGUGAAAUGCGCAGAUAUCAGGAGGAACACCGGUGGCGAAGGCGGGUCUCUGGGCAGUAACUGACGCUGAGGAGCGAAAGCGUGGGUAGCGAACAGGAUUAGAUACCCGAGUAGUC
rnacentral:rRNA from 1 species